CGACGCUCUCGCGACGGCGCCCCGCCCCCGGCUCCGUCCCAGGACUCCUGCCCGGGAGGCGUCCGGCCCCAGCAUGCCCCGCGCCUUCGAGCCCGUACCCCGCCGGCCGCGUGAGGAACGCGCGAGUUCUCUGAGCUGCUGGUGCCGGCGCUGGCCCGGGAGAGACUCGGGGCGCCGUCAGGUGUGGCAGGCGGGCCAGCCGGGACCUGUGCGCGGUUGGGACGGGAUGGGCCACAGCUCUGGUGUCCCGGGGAAUGGCGCUGGGAAUAGAGUCCCCAGCGCCGCGUGUUGGCGGGUUCUUGAGGAGAGCUCGCUGGCGUCCUCUAGGUUGUGCGUGAUUUGCGGGACCAGAGGAACUAACAUUGUGAGCCUCCGUGUAAGAAUUUCACGACUGACGGCAGAGCAGUCCAGCCGGCUGGGCCUCCGAAGUGCAGGGCCUUGUGUGAGGCCCAGGCCGUGGGGCGCAGCCCCUGACGCGGGCCUGCCUCCGGGCACGCCUCUCCUCGUACCCCAAGCGCGGGGCCGCUAGAGCCUCCUGUCUCCCACCGCCCUAGGCCUUAGGGGACGCUGACUGUCGUUCUGUCCUGCACUGGCUGGGGAGGGACUCCCCAAGGACCGCGCCGGAGCUGCUCACAGGGUAGAGCGAAGUGUGCUCCAAACCCGUCUUCUAUUCAUGUUAAUUGAAUGUCUGCCUUGGUUUCUUUCAAAGCCGCUUCCUCACAAUCCAGUUUCUGAAGCCCGGAACAGAUCCUUUGUGAGGUUCCGAAACGGGCUUGUAAGGACAGGCCUCAGUCGAACUCAGACAACUGGAGAGAGCCUUUGAGUCUGCCUGAAAGGAUCCUAUUUUUUUGAUGACAAUGCGCAGAUCUUACCUUCACCAUCAUCCCAUGAGGCCUCCUGAGAUUGCCCCUGGACAGCCCCUUGGAUGCUUCCUGCCCGAGCCCGGAAUUGUCUACCUGCCCUCCCCAUGAGGGUGUGAAGGGAUAUCUGGUCUUAAGGAUAGAAAUGUCCACAAAAUGGACCGGGCCUGUUAUCCUGAGAGAACUGCGUACUACAGCAUUGUAGGACCUCAACAGCUGAGCUGACCCAUCUCUUA